rnacentral:rRNA from 1 species
CCGCUNGAACUUAAGCAUAUCAAUAAGCGGAGGAAAAGAAACCAACAGGGAUUGCCUCAGUAACGGCGAGUGAAGCGGCAACAGCUCAAAUUUGAAAUCUGGCCUCCUGGUCCGAGUUGUAAUUUGCAGAGGAUGCUUCGGGCGCGGUGCCUUCCAAGUCCCCUGGAACGGGGCGCCGGAGAGGGUGAGAGCCCCGUACGGUUGGCGGCCAAGCCUGUGUGAAGCUCCUUCGACGAGUCGAGUAGUUUGGGAAUGCUGCUCUAAGCGGGAGGUAGACCCCUUCUAAAGCUAAAUAUUGGCCAGAGACCGAUAGCGCACAAGUAGAGUGAUCGAAAGAUGAAAAGCACUUUGAAAAGAGGGUUAAACAGCACGUGAAAUUGUUGAAAGGGAAGCGCUUGAGACCAGACGUGCGCCGGGGUGCUCAGCGGGCGUUCUCGCCCGUGCACUCGCCCCGGCGCAGGCCAGCGUCGGUUUGGGCGGGGGGAUAAAGGCGUCUGGAAUGUGGCUCCCCCGGGAGUGUUAUAGCCAGGCGUGCCAUGCCUCCGCCCGGACCGAGGUACGCGAUCUGCAAGGACGCCGGCGUAAUGGUCCCCAGCGACCCGUCUUGAAAAACACGGAA